UAGGGAAUCUUCCACAAUGGACGCAAGUCUGAUGGAGCAACGCCGCGUGAGUGAAGAAGGUUUUCGGACCGUAAAGCUCUGUUGUUGGUGAAGAAGGAUAGAGGUAGUAACUGGCCUUUAUUUGACGGUAAUCAACCAGAAAGUCACGGCUAACUACGUGCCAGCAGCCGCGGUAAUACGUAGGUGGCAAGCGUUGUCCGGAUUUAUUGGGCGUAAAGCGAGCGCAGGCGGAAGAAUAAGUCUGAUGUGAAAGCCCUCGGCUUAACCGAGGAAUUGCAUCGGAAACUGUUUUCUUGAGUGCAGAAGAGGAGAGUAGAACUCCAUGUGUAGCGGUGGAAUGCGUAGAUAUAUGGAAGAAUACCAGUGGCGAAGGCGGCUCUCUGGUCUGCAACUGACGCUGAGGCUCGAAAGCAUGGGUAGCGAACAGGAUUAGAUACCCUGGUAGUCCAUGCCGUAAACGAUGAGUGCUAAGUGUUGGGAGGCUUCCGCCUCUCAGUGCUGCAGCUAACGCAUUAAGCACUCCACCUGGGGGAGUACGACCGCAAGGUUGAAAC
rnacentral:rRNA from 1 species